GGGUUGUGAGGUUAAGCGACUAAGCGUACACGGUGGAUGCCCUGGCAGUCAGAGGCGAUGAAGGACGUGCUAAUCUGCGAAAAGCGUCGGUAAGGUGAUAUGAACCGUUAUAACCGGCGAUGUCCGAAUGGGGAAACCCAGUGCAAUUCGUUGCACUAUCGUUAACUGAAUACAUAGGUUAACGAGGCGAACCGGGGGAACUGAAACAUCUAAGUACCCCGAGGAAAAGAAAUCAACCGAGAUUCCCCGAGUAGCGGCGAGCGAACGGGGAGCAGCCCAGAGUCUGAAUCAGCUUGUGUGUUAGUGGAACGGUCUGGAAAGUCCGACGGUACAGGGUGAUAGUCCCGUACACCAAAAUGCACAGGCUGUGAACUCGAAGAGUAGGGCGGGACACGUGGUAUCCUGUCUGAAUAUGGGGGGACCAUCCUCCAAGGCUAAAUACUCCUGACUGACCGAUAGUGAACCAGUACCGUGAGGGAAAGGCGAAAAGAACCCCGGCGAGGGGAGUGAAAAAGAACCUGAAACCGUGUACGUACAAGCAGUGGGAGCACCUUCGGGUGUGACUGCGUACCUUUUGUAUAAUGGGUCAGCGACUUAUAUUCUGUAGCAAGGUUAACCGUAUAGGGGAGCCGCAGGGAAACCGAGUCUUAACUGGGCGUUAAGUUGCAGGGUAUAGACCCGAAACCCGGUGAUCUAGCCAUGGGCAGGUUGAAGGUUGGGUAACACUAACUGGAGGACCGAACCGACUAAUGUUGAAAAAUUAGCGGAUGACUUGUGGCUGGGGGUGAAAGGCCAAUCAAACCGGGAGAUAGCUGGUUCUCCCCGAAAGCUAUUUAGGUAGCGCCUCGUGAAUUCAUCUUCGGGGGUAGAGCACUGUUUCGGCUAGGGGGUCAUCCCGACUUACCAACCCGAUGCAAACUACGAAUACCGAAGAAUGUUAUCACGGGAGACACACGGCGGGUGCUAACGUCCGUCGUGAAGAGGGAAACAACCCAGACCGCCAGCUAAGGUCCCAAAGUCAUGGUUAAGUGGGAAACGAUGUGGGAAGGCACAGACAGCCGGGAUGUUGGCUUAGAAGCAGCCAUCAUUUAAAGAAAGCGUAAUAGCUCACUGGUCGAGUCGGCCUGCGCGGAAGAUGUAACGGGGCUAAACCAUGCACCGAAGCUGCGGCAGCGACACUAUGUGUUGUUGGGUAGGGGAGCGUUCUGUAAGCCUGCGAAGGUGACCUGUGAGGGUUGCUGGAGGUAUCAGAAGUGCGAAUGCUGACAUAAGUAACGAUAAAGCGGGUGAAAAGCCCGCUCGCCGGAAGACCAAGGGUUCCUGUCCAACGUUAAUCGGGGCAGGGUGAGUCGACCCCUAAGGCGAGGCCGAAAGGCGUAGUCGAUGGGAAACAGGUUAAUAUUCCUGUACUUGGUGUUACUGCGAAGGGGGGACGGAGAAGGCUAUGUUAGCCGGGCGACGGUUGUCCCGGUUUAAGCAUGUAGGCUGAUUGUCCAGGCAAAUCCGGAUAAUCAAGGCUGAGGUGUGAUGACGAGGCACUACGGUGCUGAAGUAACAAAUGCCCUGCUUCCAGGAAAAGCCUCUAAGCAUCAGGUAACAUUAAAUCGUACCCCAAACCGACACAGGUGGUCAGGUAGAGAAUACCAAGGCGCUUGAGAGAACUCGGGUGAAGGAACUAGGCAAAAUGGUGCCGUAACUUCGGGAGAAGGCACGCUGGUGUGUAGGUGAAGUCCCUGCGGAUGGAGCUGAGACCAGUCGAAGAUACCAGCUGGCUGCAACUGUUUAUUAAAAACACAGCACUGUGCAAACACGAAAGUGGACGUAUACGGUGUGACGCCUGCCCGGUGCCGGAAGGUUAAUUGAUGGGGUUAUCCGUAAGGAGAAGCUCUUGAUCGAAGCCCCGGUAAACGGCGGCCGUAACUAUAACGGUCCUAAGGUAGCGAAAUUCCUUGUCGGGUAAGUUCCGACCUGCACGAAUGGCGUAAUGAUGGCAGUCUGUCUCCACCCGAGACUCAGUGAAAUUGAACUCGCUGUGAAGAUGCAGUGUACCCGCGGCAAGACGGAAAGACCCCGUGAACCUUUACUAUAGCUUGACACUGAACAUUGAGCCUUGAUGUGUAGGAUAGGUGGGAGGCUUUGAAGCGUGGACGCCAGUCUGCGUGGAGCCAACCUUGAAAUACCACCCUUUAAUGUUUGAUGUUCUAACGUUGGCCCCUGACCGGGGUUGCGGACAGUGUCUGGUGGGUAGUUUGACUGGGGCGGUCUCCUCCCAAAGCGUAACGGAGGAGCACGAAGGUUAGCUAAUCCUGGUCGGACAUCAGGAGGUUAGUGCAAUGGCAUAAGCUAGCUUGACUGCGAGCGUGACGGCGCGAGCAGGUGCGAAAGCAGGUCAUAGUGAUCCGGUGGUUCUGAAUGGAAGGGCCAUCGCUCAACGGAUAAAAGGUACUCCGGGGAUAACAGGCUGAUACCGCCCAAGAGUUCAUAUCGACGGCGGUGUUUGGCACCUCGAUGUCGGCUCAUCACAUCCCGGGGCUGAAGUAGGUCCCAAGGGUAUGGCUGUUCGCCAUUUAAAGUGGUACGCGAGCUGGGUUUAGAACGUCGUGAGACAGUUCGGUCCCUAUCUGCCGUGGGCGCUGGAGAAUUGAGGGGGGCUGCUCCUAGUACGAGAGGACCGGAGUGGACGCAUCACUGGUGUUCGGGUUGUCAUGCCAAUGGCACUGCCCGGUAGCUAAAUGCGGAAGAGAUAAGUGCUGAAAGCAUCUAAGCACGAAACUUGCCCCGAGAUGAGUUCUCCCUGAGACUAUAAGUCUCCUGAAGGAACGUUAAAGACGAUGACGUUGAUAGGCCGGGUGUGUAAGCGCAGCGAUGCGUUGAGCUAACCGGUACUAAUGAACCGUGAGGCUUAACCUUACAACGCCGAAG
rnacentral:rRNA from 1 species